rnacentral:lncRNA from 1 species
UUUGAAGGGGCAGAAAGUAAGUCGUGUGGGAUAGAGUGUAAAAAGCACUUUUGCCCACUACGCCAUGGGUUUGCUAUUGAAGAAAAUCAUUGGCAGUUUUAUUCAGGGGGGUUGAACAAGCCCAUCAAAAUGUCUGCACGCAGGCCGGCCCUGCAGCACACUGCCACAGGGGAGAUGUGUCGAGGUAUUUAUACCAUGCUCAUCGCUAUGGUAACAGAAAGCCUUAUGAAAUGUAGAUAUUCCAUACAGAAAGCUUGUGCUUUUCUGCCUCGCUCGUGCUCACUCGCUCCUUCCUCCCCACCAUAGGGGCUUCUAUGGAUGCUUGUGCAGCGAGGAGGCGCAGGGCCAGAGCAUGGCUUGCCGUGAUUCCAAAACUUCAGGAUUCCCAGCUGUGGUUUCUACUCCCUCAGCCAUCACUGCCAGCUGUCCUGAGACCCUCAAGUGAAGCCGGGGAUUUCCCUGUUCCUCAGCAGUAUCUGGAGGGCAGAGCUGAGAAGAAAGACAACUGAGGCCUAACUCACAGCAGGUCUCCGGCCUCCCUGGGGCCACAGUAGCCAUGGGCAGGUAGCACUCGGAUGGCUGUGAUGGACUGCCUGGCAGUUGAGCAUCCCUAACUGCACCUGACAGGAACCCCCCUGCAGGUUGAUCUACACGCAGAAGUUCAAUCCCUUCAGGCCCACCUCUGAAACUGAUGGGACUCUCUCUAUAGUGAACACUUCCUUUAAGGCUGCAGGUAAUCCUGCCCUUGGACGAGAAGGCAACGGCAUGAGGCCAUGUUGCCACCCACAUAACUGCUGGUAACCAACCCUCCCUGCACAGCCAGCCGUAGUGGUGGCAUGGUGUAACUCAAGGUGUGUCUGACAUGACAGUGGAUCCUGUCAAACAGCUUGGUGCAGCUGCGGAGGCAGCCCCAUUCCCCUCCACUAUGCCCCACUCCCAGUCCUACCUCUCUGCCUCGUACUCCCUGUCACUGGGGCUCCUCCAGCACUGCUGGCAGCUAUCUGAAGCUCACCCAUCAGGAGGAGGGAUGCAUUUUCUGGCACUUUGGCUUCCUGGUCUGGCUCACCUCAGUGUCACAGGAGCAUUGAUGGGAGGGAAGGCACAGCUGAGACCAGAGGGAAGGGGCUGAACCGCCAGGGAGAAGUUAUUUUACUAUGGUAUAAUCAGCAGUGAUCACUAGGCAGCUCUAUCAAAUGGGGUCAUGGUUUUCUGAGUGCCUUUAAUACUGAUUCACUGUUAGU